rfam:Coprinopsis cinerea okayama7#130 chromosome 2 cont3.2, whole genome shotgun sequence.
GACUCCUUAGCUCAGUGGUAGAGCGUGAGAUUCCAGCUUGGGAAAUCCUCAAGGUCAUCCGUUCAAUCCGGGUAGGGGUCA